rfam:Gossypium hirsutum cultivar TM-1 chromosome 17, whole genome shotgun sequence
UUUUAAAAAUUUUAUCCCUUUGUACUAUUAAAAACUAGCAUGACUGACAGAAUAACCAGAUAAUGAUACGUGACACGCUAGUGUGCCUCAUGAUAAUGAACAUGGACCAAUUUUUAAUAGUAAAAAAGGAUGAAAUUUUUACUA